AAACUAACUAGGAUGCCUUCAGUAACGGCGAGCGAAGCAGGCAUAGCUCAAAUUUGUAAUCUGGCGCCUUUGGCGUCCGAGUUGUAUUUUCUAGAAGCGAGUUCGGUGACAGCUCCUACCCAAGUCCGUUGGAACGCGGCGUCAUGGAGGGUGAGAAUCCCGUGAAUGGUAGGAUGUCUGCUGCUAUGUGAACCGCCUUCGAAGAGUCGAGUUGUUUGGGAAUGCAGCUCUAAAUGGGAGGUAAAUUUCUUCUAAAGCUAAAUAUUGGCCAGAGACCGAUAGCGAACAAGUAGAGUGAUCGAAAGAUGAAAAGAACUUUGAAAAGAGAGUUAAACAGUACGUGAAAUUGUUGAAAGGGAAGCGCUUGAGAUCAGACUUCCUGUCUGGACUGUCCUUGCUUUUGCUUGGGUCAACAGUCCAGGCGUGGAGGCCAGCAUCAGUUUUGACGGCCGGAUAAAGGCCUUGGGAAGGUAGCUCCUCUCGGGGAGUGUUAUAGCCCAGGGUGUAAUACGGCCAGUUGGGACUGAGGACCGCGGCUUUGCCUAGGAUGCUGGCGUAAUGGUCUUAAGCGAC
rnacentral:rRNA from 1 species